ACCUCAUAAGUUAGACGACAAGAGGUACCACUUAUAUAUUUUAUUUUUAAUCUAUAUAAGGAGGUGGCACAAAAUCGGAGGCCCCGACUGUUUACUAAAAACACAACAGUCUGCAAUGAUGAAUAUCAUAGUAUAGAUUGUGAAAUUUGCCCGAUGCCAUUAAUAUAAGAGCGGUCAUUGAAAAAUGUGACUAAUCGAAAGUCUGGUUAAUAGCGGUCUAGAUUAAGGCCCAGUUUAAACUAAAUAAACUAAAACUUAUCUUU
rnacentral:ncRNA from 1 species